AACCGCAGACUUUGCCUGAAAUUCAUGUAAAUUCGAUAUUAUCAGUCGCGAUACCUUUUCGUUCAACGUCUAUUACCCGUACAUAGUUAGUUGUGUUUUUUUUUCAUUCGUUCGUUCGUUCGUUGCUUCUCUUCACUUCUGCUUCUCUUUACUUAAGAAUUUAUCUAUUUCAAUUGAACAUUGUGUGUGAUUAGUGGUUUAUGUGUUUAGUUUUUUUUUUGCUUCCGCAAAAUCGAUCUGUUCGAUGUUUUAUUUGUGGCAUUUGAAUGAAAUUCAAUUUUAGUUGACUUGUUAGAAACACAUCUAUUGAUUAUUGAAUUACGAUCACCACGAUUGUGUCGAUCAAUCCACGAUGAACUUCAUAUUCAGUGAUUUUUCGGAUAGAAAAAAAACAACAACAUUUCAGGUUUUUCACAUGUUGAUGAAACACAGAGCAUUUCACUCUUGCUCAUCGCUUUUUUCUGUGUUUACAUCCUCUUUCUGUGGGAAACCUGAAUGAUGUGUAAACAAUGUGUGUGUUUUUUUUUCGGUGCAGCGAUAAUUAAAUUCGUCUUUUUUAUUGGUUUGUUGAUGUUGUGCAUUCAACAACCAUUCCACAUUGAUUGACAUUGGUCGGCAGCGAGAGAGGUAGCACAAGAAAAAAAAAUUCUUUAAAAAUGCGAAGAAUAAUAAUGGCCGAUGCAAAAAAAAGAAAUGUAAAAAAAAACAACUACAACUCUUUUAAUUUAAUUCUCUUUGAAGUUUGCAGUUUAAUGAGAAAGCAAUUUUCACAGAAACACGAACCCAUCGCGCAGAACUGAACGAAAAAAUGAUUACGAAAAGCCCUGUAAUUUACAUCAAAACACUUCAAAACUGCAUAUUUCGUACAUAAAUAUGAUAAACGUGAACGCAAAGAGUGAAAUGAAAAACGACCUCCAUUGUGGAACAGUGCAACAACAACAACAAAAAACAAACGAAGUUAGCGUAAUUACACAUACACAUCGUCUCGAUGAAUGCACUUAAGCCACCCGAAAAAAAAACAACUCUCAACGCAUUUGCGAACACUGCGAGCGCAACGAAUUUCGCGCACAUUGAAAACACCGAAAUGAGUGAUGCGUAAUUAAAUUUAGCAUUUAAACUCUCUCUCUCUCUCUCUCCGUUUGUGGCCACUGCAUCGAUUUAUUUGUUGUGAAAAAGAACUGUGAGCGAUAUUCUGGCUACGAAAUAUGCCUCUCCAUUUGUAAAUGUUUUCAUCAAAUGAAAUUGAUGAAAUGGUCGACCGUCGAGCCGAGAGAGGAGAAAAAACACGGCUUUAAAAUGUGGCGGCAAAUUAAAGUAAACAUAAACCAGAAAUGGAUCAUUUAUCGUCGGGAAAAUCGAAAUGAGUUGAUAAAAGAAAUUACGAUUUUUUUUUUUUGUCUAAUCAAAACAGAGAAAUAAAAAUGGCCCAACCCAAAAAAAAUGCCAGAUUUUUUGCAAACAGAUCGAUUGCGUAAAAUAUUGCGGCUGUUUCGAUUAAAAUGAAAAUGAAAAAAAAAAACCUGACGGUUUUUGCAUAAAAAUAUCGGUUAAAGCCGUUAAAUUUUCAACAAGUCUUUCAACAAGCUUUCGGCUUAUUCGAACUACGGCUUCCAUUCGUGUGAAUCAUUCGUAUGCGGAAUUCAAACUGUACGCGUCGACUGUUUUUUGUUUUUGUUUCAAUUCAAUUAGAUUAAAUUUUAACAGGACUUAUCGUUGGCUGCCAAGGCAAACGUUUUUUCGGUGAUAAAUGUGCGGUUGAAACUGUGUGCACUGCCAUAGUCAGCGCGUCACGUGCCGGUUUUUGUUGUUGUUGUUAUUUUUUUGUCGUCAUUCGUAAACCAUUUACUGUUGACUAUAUAUUUACAACGUAAACAUGCGUUGUGAAAUUCACUUGUGAAUAUACCGAGUUUUUCGUGCGUGGAUUUCUGUCCAUUUUAUGGCAACGUUCCAAUGCAUUAGAUAUGUGUAUACUUAGACCGGUUGCAUUGUUAAUGGGGAUCGUAAAACGCACAGAACACUUGCCAUUUUAUUGAAUACAACUCUAAUUGCUGUUGCUGGUUUUUUGCGGCACAUUUUUUGGCCGACGUACAAAAAUUACGUUCAAUAAUAUCUAAAAAUGUUGUGUGCUCUUCUCAUUCGGAAAUUAUUAUGGUUUCCACAAUUUUCAAUUUGAAUUAUGGUCUGGUUUGUGCGCAUUAAAUAGCUUCGGUAAUCAUGAAGCUUCAAUUUAUAUCGGAAUGGAGAUCACCAAGUGAUCUCAUAUAAAACUGAGCCGAGAAUCGGUCGAGUGCAAUUACAUUGAGAGAAAACUGAAGAAAGAAGGAGAGUGAAAAAAGUACGCUGCACCAAAAUGAUAAAGCGCGUCCGCUGUUCACUCUAUUUUUACAUGUUUGGCGACGUGAAUUAUUCAUACGUCUGUUUUCAUUAAGCGGCAGUUUCGCGUGUGCGCAUUGCCAUUGUUUGGACACAAAAUGCGGUUUGAUUGGCUUUUGUUUUAAAAAUAUACCAACGAAAACAAUUUCACUCGUUCUCUUUCGCUCUCGCUCUUCCUCUCUUCUAUUUCUUUCUAUCUGCUGCUUCUUACAAGCUGUUGUACGCAUUUCUUCAAAAAUUCAGUUGCCUGUCGCUAUAUUUUGCCCAUUUUUUUUUUAUUGUCACAUUGGAAAAUUUGUAGAAUAUAUCACAUAUGUGGUGACCAUAACUUUCAUUGUUUGCAAUUUGUUUAUCAAAAUGGCAUUCUGUGUGUAUAACACGCGUCCGCAUCAGAAAAUAGAGUACAAAGAAAAACAGUUUACAUUCAAAAGAUAUUGUUAUAUUGGUGGCGUAUUUUUCGAUGCGACGCGUGUCGAUUUCCACAUCAAUUGAAAUGCUUUCAACGAAACUCAGUUAUGAAUUGAAGCUAAAGAAAUGGAUUUGUAUGAAAGUUAAAUAUUUGCACUGUCCAUUGCGUCAUAGGAUCAAUCAAAAAUAUUUUGGUUAGUUUCCAUUGCUUUCAACGCUUUGUUUGACGAAUUGUCAAUUCGCACAAAAUGGUUGGUUGCACUUUGGAAACCACAGCCACUGGAUUGCUAGUGUGUAAACGAUGGCUGAAAGGAAAAAGAAACAAUUGACGAAAAUUUUCGCACAUAACUCGUGUACUCAUUCUAUUUGCACAGUCAAGCGAUUUUGUUCGAGCAUCAUCAAUCAAGACAGCAGAUGUAUAGAGUCAACAAGGAAGAACGACGAAUGAUUGAGGUGAUGCGAAUCGAUUGAGUUCAAAGCCAAACAAUGUUUAAUCGUACACUUCCAAUUUCAUGCUAUACAAUUUGUGUCUAUAGGAAAUGCUGCAUAUUAUCAAUUCAUCUAUUCAAGAAGAUGCUUAACAUAUGCAAACAUUCUUGUGCUGACACCCAUCGAAACAAUGCUUUUGUCUCGUCGAUCUAUGUGCUUGCCGUAACGACAAUGUCUCGUGUACAAAACAAAUUGGAAGCAUUAAUUGAAUUGCAGCAGUAGCAACGCCAUUCAUUUCAUUUAUGGGUGGAAAAUAAAUGCUUCUCGACACAUCUCAGCACCUACUUGUGCGACAUGUCAAGCCGCACCGCGUAAUGAAUGCAUAUCUCAUGACAAGAUGAAACAUUGUGGAAGUCAAUGAAAAUAAAUCGAAUUGAGCGUUUUGGCGAACAGCAAUGGAUGAAAAUGGCAUACGUCGCCAUAAUGCAAACCGACAUUGUAAAUGCCAUAUAAGCUGUGCCGCAAUUUUCAAUUUAUUUUAACACUUUAUGCCACACACAUACUGAAUUAAUAUGCGCGGCACACAUUUUCUGAUUAUUUUUAUAAUAAAAACAAAACGAUAAUAAGUUUUUGUUUCAGUCACAAGAUCUUUGAUCUCAUUCUCUUUGAGUCAUUUCAUAUUUUACGCUCACAAAAACUCUUUUUCUCGUUACUUACAUGCGACCUUUGCGGAUAAAAAAUACAAUUGAGAGAAAUAAAAAUAAGCGCUUUGUAAGAAUGUCAUUGCGAAGAUCAAAACAAAGUUAUAGUAACUGUACCAUACCGUCGUCUCACUCAGUUAUCGUUUCGCUUUUAUUCACAUGCUACCAAAUGCAAAAUAAUAAUAUUUUAGGUCGUUGACUUGACUCGAACUUUUCGUUUCGACAAACAACGACAAAAACAACUGACAGAGACACACGAUUACGUUUUGCUAUCGUGAAAUUUAUCGAAACUUGUCACACACACAAAAACGCACACACUCGGCUCCCCUGAGCCCAUGUUUCACAACUCUAUUCGAGAAUUAAUUAUUUAUCUCGUGAACGAUUAGAAAUUCAAUAAAUAUUAAUAGCUCGAUUUUGUUAGCUAACUCGCAUGAGGCAACAGGUUUCGUGUGUGUGUGUAACACAGAUAUUAGUUUAGUUUUGUUUAGUUCGUUCGCGUUUGAAAAGAUAACACAACAAAACGCCGAAAUAUGCAUAUUUCUAUUCGGAAUGAAUCACACACGUGUGACUUUUUGCAGUAAAAACGCAACUUGCUUUGGGCAAGCUGCAGAAAAAGUGAAACCGUUUGAUGCGAGGCUUUUUUUUUGAAAUCAUUGAUGAAACCAUACAAAAAGCAUUGACUUUUUUCGCUUUUUGCCUAUGGAUGUAUGCUCAUAGUAACCAUACGGCAUUGAUGUUGAAUUCAAUUAGUAUUGCCCGAAAAAGUUUCCGGGUCCAUUUCGAAUUCGACAAAAAAGCCUUUAUCUUAUCGGUGAAGUGUCUUAAAUCACACUCUUCAUUUAUAAAUCUAUUGAAAUCACUUUGCAAUAUAAAACCUACUUGUCACCAUAUUUGCAAGCCAAAAAAAAAAUCGCAAACGCUUUUGUUUUUUUGAAAUGACGUCUGCCUAUGUGGUAUGUGCAAAAUUUCACAAAAAUUGUCGUAUACGUAUCGUUGAAUGACGAAAAAAGAACACGCUCAAGUACACGCACUCACUAUGGAAUUCAAUGUUCGUCAUAAUUUCGAGCAAGAACGUAGAUUUCAAGUGCAAUCAACAACAAAUGACAGUUCGUGAACAGAGAAAAAAAGUGUCAACUAUUGUAUUCUCGCUCUCGCUCUCACUCUCGCUCUGUUUUGUUCCAUGAAAAAUGGAGUGAGGCAAUCGCUUACUCCGUGAAUAACACACAAUUUCUCAAUCAUGUGAUGGAAUUGAGUUUGAAUGUUGGAAUGAAAUGGCAGCCACAAACGCGAUUCAUUUGCCACAAAUAAUAAUAAUUAUAGAUCGGUUUAUGUACUUUUUUUCUACAAAGGCGGAAAUGUUUUGAGGAGAGAAAAAAAAAUUAUGUGUUAUUUCAGUUUAGCAGCAUUGGGUUGUGUCAAAUCACAUAGCGACUCAAUGACAUUCUAAGUUGGAAACAAGUUGAAAUUCAGUGCAGUCGAUCAAUCGAACUGGGUGAUCGAAAAUCGGCAAUUUCAAGAACCAAUGUCAAUAUUGUGCAGUAAUUUAUCAAAAAAUCCAUCGAAUAAGUGUAUAUCCAAAGCAAAUAAACAAUUGCAAGACUCACGAUCUCGAUAAUAAAAAAAACGCGCUAUUUUAAGAAUAGACACACAAUUUGAAUGUGAAUAAAUAAGUGUGUACUCAAUAUUUCGUGAUUAGAUCAUUCCGAAAAAGGAACAUAAACGCUAAAUAAAAAUCCAAAAAUAAAAUGUGCCGUUGUUGCCAGAGUUGCUUUGAAGAUUGCUACUGGUAUUGCAUUGAAGAACGAUUUUGCUUCGAUAAGAACAUUGCAAAUUAUAAUGCUGACGAGGAUGAGUAUUUAACGAAACGUGGCAAAGGGUUCAAUGAUUUGCAUUUGGAUGCGAACGAUCGGCCCAUCUGUGAACAACCCGUUCGACAGGAAAAUGGAUUGAGUUCAAAAAUCCGCGAAGAUGACUACCGUCAAAUCCAAACAAAUGUGCCAUUUUUGGCGCCGGAAAUUCUGGCUGUGUUUGCGAAUUCGCAAAUCUUCCACGAUAGUCAGCCGAACAAAUCAUUGGCCAUUGUACACAAGAGUCCGGGCAUCCAUGAUGACCCAUCGAAGAAGCACACACGUACCGAUUCUGACAGCGAGAAGAAACUAUUGAAACGACUUGAAGGAAUCGAAUUAAACUCGGAAGAAGAGCAACAAGGUGCUAGCAAAACAGCCAGCAAAUCAUCGCGAAGGGAUGAGAAAGCGAAUGAAUUGAUUUUGCGACCGGUGCCGAUAAUUAGGACAAAUACACCGUCCACGUCAAGUGACAAUGCCGACGGUGGUGUUGAUUCAGAAGAGGAAUCCAGUAGUGUUGGAAUAAAGACACCAAUUUUGAAUAAACGUUUGCGAACGAUUCAAAGUUUGCCGUACUUUUCAUUUCGGCCGGCCAGCGAAACGGACAUUUUUACGAUAGCCGGCAGUUCAAAUAUGAUUAGUAUGACACCGGAAAUACCAUCCAUAUCGUAUACAACGCUGCCGAAACACUUUGUAGAUACGCCAACCAUUGAAAAGUACAAAGAAUCAGUAAGUUUGUACAGUAUUCAAACAUCGAAUAAAGAGCGAGCCACCGAAGCCGAUUUCACAAUGCCAAGAUAUUUCGGUAAAGGUGAUAUGAUUGCACAGAGCGUUGAAAAUCUAUCGACCACAAAACCGGGCCGCGCUUCGCCGAGUAAAAAAGUCGAGAAGAGUAAACGGCUGAAAUUGCUGCGUGCUAAUUUGCCACCGCUUUCAAUUCACAUUAACAAAGAAAAAUCCAAGGAACGAAAAAUCGAAUGAUGAAAAACAGAAAAGUUUGAAAAAAAAGAAAAAAAACUGGGAACUCACAACGGAAGAAAACGCGUCAAGAACUCUUAAAACAAUCGACCAAAAUUUGAAUUUUAAAUUAUUCAAUCAAUCAUUAGUUUUAGUAUUAGAGUCUAGUUGAAUGGCAUAGAACUACCUAAUUUGCAUUAGAUGCGAUCGUUUAUUAUUGUUAAGUUUUUUUUUACCUGUACAUCGAAUAAUGGUUUUUUUUCGAUUGUGUGCCUCAAAUGGCAUGCCAUUACUUCGUUGACAUUUUAAUUUCAAUGAAGAAGUGCGUUAACACGAGAUAUUCAAAUUUGUUUUUUGUUUUGCUAGAUGAGGAAAAAAAAUCAUUGUAACAAAUUGCAUCAAGAUGUAGAAUUAAUAGAGUAGCUCGUUUUGUUUGUCUCUGUUGUUGUUAACACGUGAGUGGCACUCAAAAAACACGUUUUUCUUAAUAGAGUAGUUUUUAUGUGGGCCUACGGUGGUGGUGUUGUUCUAGUGUCUUAAGAUUUAUUUCACUGUUGUGAAGAGCAUUUCUCUACGAAAUACAUUUUAAUCUUUUUUUUACAUUUAAGCUUAAAUUGUUUCUGUCCAUUGGCAUUAAAUCUUAGAUUUUUUUAAUUGAAAAAAAAA